rnacentral:siRNA from 1 species
GCAUUGGAUCCUUGCGGAGUUGC